UACGGAGGGUGCAAGCGUUAAUCGGAAUUACUGGGCGUAAAGCGUGCGCAGGCGGUUUGUUAAGUCUGCUGUGAAAUCCCCGAGCUCAACUUGGGAAUUGCAGUGGAUACUGGCAGGCUGGAGUAUGGUAGAGGAAGGUGGAAUUCCCGGUGUAGCAGUGAAAUGCGUAGAGAUCGGGAGGAACACCAGUGGCGAAGGCGGCCAUCUGGGACAACACUGACGCUGAGGCACGAAAGCGUGGGGAGCAAACAGG
rnacentral:rRNA from 1 species